rnacentral:rRNA from 1 species
GCAACUCGCCUGCGUGAAGUUGGAAUUGCUAGUAAUCGCGGAUCAGCAUGCCGCGGUGAAUACGUUCCCGGGCCUUGUACACACCGCCCGUCACACCAUGGGAGUUUGUAACACCCGAAGUCAGUAUCCUAACCGCGAAGGGGGGAGCUGCCGAAGGUGGGAUAAGCGACUGGGGUGAAGUCGUAACAAGGUAUC